ACAGGGUUCCCGACAUCCUCAUAAAACAAAGUAACAUAUAUAGAACGUGACUCGGCAAUACUCCAGGAAGAUGUGGAGCUCACCAACCAAAAGUUGAUAUCUGAAGGCAGCCUACAGUGGAUGGUCCUCACCUCGCCUAUCUACACCUGUGUGGCAUGAAACACAGCGCCCUAGGAAAAGGGACGUCAGUACGAAUAAUGUACCGAAUAUGUAAGGCAGAAAUGAAAAAUAAUAAUGAUAAGAUACUAUCUCGGGGAGAGAUAAGAGUGAACUUAUAACUUCUGACUUGCCACUGAGGGCCGUAACAUAUAGAAUAAAAACCAUUCGUAUAUAUAAAUAAAACUACAAUAUAGUAGUUCUGAUUACAUCAUUCUCGUGGCGUUAACUGCCCAACUGAUCAGUGGUAACUGUCCGACCGGCCGUAGUGCGGUGGUAAAUGCAUGACUGCCCGACCGGACGUAGCUCGGUGGUAAAUGUGUAACUGCCCAACCGGCCGUAGCUCGAUGGUAAAUGCAUGAAGAUGCAUGUACAUGUAUCACUAUUUUAUAAGCAUUAACAUUUCUAUCAUAUAGAUCAAUAUGGAGUAAGGACAUACUCAGACAUGCUUGAAUAUCAUUUUACAGGAAUAACGAACAUAUACAUCCUUAACUGCUAAGAGUAGAAACACUUAUGAUAUAACUUUACGUUUACAUAUCGUUACUCGGAUCACGCCAAAAGAAAGAAGGGAUAGCCUUAACAUACCUGAGCCGAUUCUCUUGACAAUCCCUUUAAUAUACGUCAAUUGCGAUAAAAUACAUAACGGCGGAUCAAAAUUGGAAACAAUCUAUAUGAUAUUCUGGAAGUAACUAAAUUUUUAGUGGGUGAAAGGGAGUAGAGCUUUUUGAAAAGGUUUCUACUGUAGGUAGCAAACAUAAAACAUGGAUCAUGCUUGAUCAAAAAGUAAACCUGAAUUUUGGAGAUUGGGAAGUCGAUCCUGAUCUCUGUGGCACCGUUCGACGCUUGUCCUUACUAGUGAAAAUGGAUAGCAAGAUUGUUUGAAUGAGCCAUUCGUUUGAAAGCAUGUAUCCUCCAAGCUAAUGCACAAUUUUUUUCAUCUUGACUAAUGGAGUUAUGUUAGACAAUGUGAUAUUCU
rnacentral:lncRNA from 1 species